GAUGAACGCUGGCGGCGUGCCUAAUACAUGCAAGUCGAGCGGACAGACGAUGAGCUUGCUCCUCUGACGUUAGCGGCGCACGGGUGAGUAACACGUGUAUAAUCUACCUAUAAUACUGGUAUAACUUCGGGAAUCCGGCGCAAAUACCGUAUAAUCUAUUGCACCGCAUGGUUCAAUAGUGAAAUUCGGCUUUUCUGUCACUUAUCGAUGGAUACGCGCCGCAUUAGCUAGUUGGUAAGGUCACGGCGUAUCAAGGCAACGAUGCGUAGCCGACAUGAGAGGGUGAGUGGCCGGCCUGGAACGGAGACACGCUACAGACUCCUACGGGAGGCGGCAGUAGUGAAUCUGGCGCAAUGGGCGAAAGCCUGACGGAGCAACGCCGCGUGAGUGAUGAAGGUCGUCGGAUCGGAAAACUCUGUUAUCAGGGAGGAACACAUGUGUAAGUAACUAUGCACGUCUUGACGGUAACUAAUCAGAGAACCACGGCUAACUACGUG
rnacentral:rRNA from 1 species